UUGUGGACGGGCUCAAGCUGUGCUCAUCACUGCGACGGCUGCCGCGGCUGCACAGUGUUCACAAGAGCAGGCUCGUCGCUCCGGGACCUGCCAGCUCCACAGCCUGGCACCAGCAGGCGACGGGACGCGGCGCUGGGAGGUGAGCAGGCCGGGCCCCGGGAGCAGCGGGGCGGCGUCGUGGGCUCAGCUGGGACCAGAGGGAAGAGUGAUAAAGCAGAAUUGUGGAUCCAAAGGAGGUAAUCAUUUCUGAGGCAUCUGAGACACGUUGGAAAUCUGCACUCUGGAAAUUUUACACAAAUGGACACACUCAUGGACAAGAUGGGAAAAUAAAUGCCUCAAGAAGCUGCACAGAUUGCCCCAAGACUCUCAGGAGUUGAGUGGGAGG